GAAACUUCAUGGGUUGAUUGAUCAUGACUCUCAGAUGACCCCUAUUGAUUUUGAGGUCACUAGGUCAAGGUCACGGUGACCCGAAAUAGUAAAAUGGUUUUCUGAUGAUAACUCCAGAACGCAUAUGCCUAGGAUCAUGAAACUUCAUAGGUAGAUUGAUCAUGACUCGCAGAUGACCCAUAUUGAUUUUGGGGUCACAAGGUCAAAGGUCAAGGUCACGGUGACCCGAAAUAGUAAAAUGAUUUUUGGAUGAUAACUCAAGAACGCUUUUGCCUAGGAUCAUGACACUUCAUAGGUACAUUGAUUGUGACUCGCAGAUGACCCCUAUUGAUUUUCAGGUCACUAGGUCAAAGGUCAAGGUCACAGUGACAAAAAACGUAUUCACACAAUGGCUGCCACUACAACUGACAGCCCUUAUGGGGGCGUGCAUGUUUUACAAACAGCCCUUGUUAAUAAACUUAUUAUGCCCCCAUUUCGAAGAAAAGGGGAUUUAUAGUUUUCGCACUGUCGGUCGGUCGGUCGGUCAAUCGGUCGGUCGGUCGGUCACACUUCGUGUCCGCUCUCUAAUUCAAAUAGUUUUCAUCCGAUCUUUACCAAACGUGGUCAGAAGUUGUAUCCAGACAAUAUCUAGGUCAAGUUCGAAUAUGGGUCAUGCCGGGUCAAAAACUAGGUCACGGGGUCACUUAGUGCAUUUCAAUGAUUUAGCAUGGUGUCCGCUCUCUAAUUAAAGUAGUUUUCAUCUGAUCUUUACUAAACUUGGUCAGAAGUUGUAUCAAGACAAUAUCUAGGUCAAGUUCGAAUAUGGGUCAUGCCGGGUCAAAAACUAGGUCACGGGGUCACUUAGUGCAUUUCAAGGAUUAAGCAUGUUGUCCGCUCUCUAGUUUAUGUGGCUUACUGAUUUAUUUUGAUAUUCUAAGACAUUUGUAUGCCCCCGAAGGAGGGCAUAUAGUGAUCGGACUGUCCGUUCGUCUGUCCGUCCUUCUGUCCGUCACACUUUGCGUUUAGAUUUCGAAAAAUGUUCAUAACUUCUAUGUCGCUUCAGAUAGCAAUUUCAUAUUUGGCAUGC